GAUGAACGCUGGCGGCGCGCCUAACACAUGCAAGUCGAACGGCACCCCUCCUCGGAGGGAAGCGAGUGGCGAACGGCUGAGUAAAACGUGGAGAACCUGCCCCCUCCCCCGGGAUAGCCGCCCGAAAGGACGGGUAAUACCGGAUACCCCGGGGUGUCGCAUGGCACCCCGGCUAAAGCCCCGUCGGGGGGGGAUGGGUCCGCGGCCCAUCAGGUAGACGGCGGGGUGAGGGCCUAGCGUGCCGACAACGGGUAGCCGGGUUGGGAGACCGACCGGCCAGGUUCUGACUGAGACACGGCCCUGACUCCGACGGGAGGAGGCAGUAGGGAAUCUUGCGGGAUGGGGGCCACCCUGAGCAAGCGACGCCGCGUGCGGAACGGCGUCCGUCGGGUCGUAAACCGCUUUCAGCACGGAAGAGUCAAGACUGUACCUGCAGAAGAAGCCCCGGCUAACUACGUG
rnacentral:rRNA from 1 species